UGCAGUAGAACGCUGAAGAGAGGAGCUUGCUCUUCUUGGAUGAGUUGCGAACGGGUGAGUAACGCGUAGGUAACCUGCCUUGUAGCGGGGGAUAACUAUUGGAAACGAUAGCUAAUACCGCAUAACAAUGGAUGACACAUGUCAUUUAUUUGAAAGGGGCAAUUGCUCCACUACAAGAUGGACCUGCGUUGUAUUAGCUAGUAGGUGAGGUAAUGGCUCACCUAGGCGACGAUACAUAGCCGACCUGAGAGGGUGAUCGGCCACACUGGGACUGAGACACGGCCCAGACUCCUACGGGAGGCAGCAGUAGGGAAUCUUCGGCAAUGGGGGCAACCCUGACCGAGCAACGCCGCGUGAGUGAAGAAGGUUUUCGGAUCGUAAAGCUCUGUUGUAAGUCAAGAACGGGUGUGAGAGUGGAAAGUUCACACUGUGACGGUAGCUUACCAGAAAGGGACGGCUAACUACGUGCCAGCAGCCGCGGUAAUACGUAGGUCCCGAGCGUUGUCCGGAUUUAUUGGGCGUAAAGCGAGCGCAGGCGGUUUGAUAAGUCUGAAGUUAAAGGCUGUGGCUCAACCAUAGUUCGCUUUGGAAACUGUCAAACUUGAGUGCAGAAGGGGGAGAGUGGAAUUCCAUGUGUAGCGGUGAAAUGCGUAGAUAUAUGGAGGAACACCGGUGGCGAAAGCGGCUCUCUGGUCUGUAACUGACGCUGAGGCUCGAAAGCGUGGGGAGCGAACAGGAUUAGAUACCCUGGUAGUCCACGCCGUAAACGAUGAGUGCUAGGUGUUGGAUCCUUUCCGGGAUUCAGUGCCGCAGCUAACGCAUUAAGCACUCCGCCUGGGGAGUACGACCGCAAGGUUGAAACUCAAAGGAAUUGACGGGGGCCCGCACAAGCGGUGGAGCAUGUGGUUUAAUUCGAAGCAACGCGAAGAACCUUACCAGGUCUUGACAUCCCGAUGCUAUUUCUAGAGAUAGAAAGUUACUUCGGUACAUCGGUGACAGGUGGUGCAUGGUUGUCGUCAGCUCGUGUCGUGAGAUGUUGGGUUAAGUCCCGCAACGAGCGCAACCCCUAUUGUUAGUUGCCAUCAUUCAGUUGGGCACUCUAGCGAGACUGCCGGUAAUAAACCGGAGGAAGGUGGGGAUGACGUCAAAUCAUCAUGCCCCUUAUGACCUGGGCUACACACGUGCUACAAUGGUUGGUACAACGAGUUGCGAGUCGGUGACGGCGAGCUAAUCUCUUAAAGCCAAUCUCAGUUCGGAUUGUAGGCUGCAACUCGCCUACAUGAAGUCGGAAUCGCUAGUAAUCGCGGAUCAGCACGCCGCGGUGAAUACGUUCCCGGGCCUUGUACACACCGCCCGUCACACCACGAGAGUUUGUAACACCCGAAGUCGGUGAGGUAACCUUUUGGAGCCAGCCGCCUAAG
rnacentral:rRNA from 1 species